GUCCAGACUCCUACGGGAGGCAGCAGUAAGGGAUAUUGGUCAAUGGGGGAAACCCUGAACCAGCAACGCCGCGUGAGGGAAGACGGUUUUCGGAUUGUAAACCUCUGUCCUCUGUGAAGAUGAUGACGGUAGCAGAGGAGGAAGCUCCGGCUAACUACGUGCCAGCAGCCGCGGUAAUACGUAGGGAGCGAGCGUUGUCCGGAUUUACUGGGUGUAAAGGGUGCGUAGACGGUGAUGCAAGUCUGGAGUGAAAGGCGGGGGCCCAACCCCCGGACUGCCCUGGAAACUGUGUAACUUGAGUGCAGGAGAGGCAGGCGGAAUUCCUAGCGUAGCGGUGAAAUGCGUAGAUAUUAGGAGGAACACCGGUGGCGAAGGCGGCCUGCUGGACUGUAACUGACGUUGAGGCUCGAAAGCGUGGGGAGCAAACAGGAUUAGAUACCCCAGUACAA
rnacentral:rRNA from 1 species